AACGAACGCUGGCGGCAGGCCUAACACAUGCAAGUCGAACGCCGUAGCAAUACGGAGUGGCAGACGGGUGAGUAACGCGUGGGAACCUUCACUAUGGUUCGGAAUAGCUCAGGGAAACCUGGGGUAAUACCGGAUAAGCCCUUCGGGGGAAAGAUUUAUCGCCAUUGGAUGGGCCCGCGUAGGAUUAUCUAGUUGGUGAGGUAAUGGCUCACUAAGGCGACGAUUCUGAGCUGGUCUGAGAGGAUGAUCAGCCACACUGGGACUGAGACACGGCACAGACUACUACGGGGGGCAGCGGUGGGGAAUAUUGGACAAUGGGCGAAAGCCUCAUCCAGCCAUGCCGCGUGAGGGAUGAAGGCCUUAGGGUUGUAAAGCUCUUAUGGAGGGGAAGAUAAUGACGGUACCCGCAGAAUAAGCUCCGGCUAACUUCGUGCCAGCCGCCGCAGUAAAAC
rnacentral:rRNA from 1 species